GGAGGAGCAUGAUGUCACUAGCAGGUGUGUAGAUGAUGCUGAUGUCACUAGCAGGUGUGUAGAUGAUGCUGAUGUCACUAGCAGGUGAGGAGGAGCAUGAUGUCACUAGCAGGUGUGUAGAUGAUGCUGAUGUCACUAGCAGGUGAGGAGGAGCAUGAUGUCACUAGCAGGUGUGUAGAUGAUGCUGAUGUCACUAGCAGGUGAGGAGGAGCAUGAUGUCACUAGCAGGUGUGUAGAUGAUGCUGAUGUCACUAGCAGGUGAGGAGGAGCAUGAUGUCACUAGCAGGUGUGUAGAUGAUGCUGAUGUCACUAGCAGAUGAGGAGCAUGAUGUCACUAGCAGGUGUGUAGAUGAUGCUGAUGUCACUAGCAGGUGAGGAGGAGCAUGAUGUCACUAGCAGGUGUGUAGAUGAUGCUGAUGUCACUAGCAGGUGAGGAGGAGCAUGAUGUCACUAGCAGAUGAGUAACGCAUCUCUUUCGCCAAGCAUUCGAAUAAUGUAUCUCUUAAAUUGUGAGUGUGGUUGCAUCUGAUCAAAUGUGCAUUCUUAUUCAUUAGCUUGGGUUAAACAAAUAUUACUUUGUUGGAUCAGCAGCAUGUUAAUGAUGUCUCUAUUUUGUUUCUAUGUUUUGCCACGGGAUCUUCAUCCCGUAGUAACUAGGAUUUACACAAGCUCCAGUCUGGAUCCAGAACACCUGAGAAGAGAUGCUGACCCUCAGAGGACCCCAGAGGAUGCUAACCCUGAAUCAACAAACAGAACUAACAAAUAUUGCUACAAGUGUGACCGCAUCAUAUAAUAAUAAUUAAUUAAUAAUAUUAAUAAUGUUCAUCGUCUGGCUGACUACGUCUUGUAUUAAUUUUUCUAAAAACCCUGUCAAACGUGCACAAACUGACAGUCACCAACAUAAGCUACUACUAAAUAUUUUAGAAACAUAAUAUUCUGUAAAGUUGAUUUGUAUUGUAAAAAGCGCUAUAGAAAUAAACUUGAAUUGAAUUGAGUAGAUGAUGCUGAUGUCAGUAGC